GGAUUACUCCUUUACGCUUUCGCGUUUGGUUGAUAAAGAUUCGCACCUCUAUCAAACCGGGUAAUCCCACCUCUUGGCAAGACCUGCUGUCAGAUCAAAUCUGAACUACUACACUUUAUAUAAAUUGGUUGUGAAAUUUUUUCAUUUAUAUGGCAGUCAUGAUUCUUUUUCAUUCUGGUUGAAAAUUCCGAAGCUG
rnacentral:sRNA from 1 species